GGGGUUUUCUAACUUUAUUAAGAGGACAGCAAAAGCUUCAUGACAAAAUCACAACUUUGACUCGUAUUCAGUGGUAAUCUAUAACUAAACAAGAAAAAUAGUCUUUUGGAGUGUUGCGAGUCUUUUAAAGUGUUACAUAUGUACCAAGUAUAAAGCAAAAUCAUUCAUAUAACUUUGCAUCGAGGUGUCAAACUUGUAAUCGAAUGGCACAUCAGAUUUGUUCCAUGAAAUAUUGAAAGAUUUAGGGUUUUUAGAUUGAAUUUUACUGAAAUGAGCUUCUUCAACCUAUGCUGAAACCUGAGAGGAGAGAGAAACAGAGCAAAUAUCUCAACUCUCAAAUGAGCUUCUUCAAUUGCGACAUUUCUGUACUAAACAGAAAAAUCAAAGCUCUAAUUGUAAGUCUCCUUUCAUUUCUAACUACUGAUUUUUGUAAGAAAUUACAUUUAAAAUUAUGUUUUUAACUUUGUGUAUUUGAAUUCAGCGUAUAUUAGCUAUGCUUUCUACUUUCUUGCUUCAAAAUUUCAUGCUGAAAGAGUGAAAGUUCAAUUCUUUGUUCCAAAUUCUAAUUCAUUCAUCUAUGAUCUAUUGAUCUGCAUUGUGGUAUACUGGUGUUUAGUCAGAUACAAGUUUUAUAAUCAUCAGUGGAAAAAUUAUGUUAAAACUGGCUUCUGUCCGGAAUUAAUAGUCGCAUUAAUAGUGUAAUUUGAACUAAUUACGUACUUAUGUGAGCAUGAGUGUGACCGUGACAGGAUGGAGAUUGUUUAUGUUUGUGUCCUAGUUGUGAAUAUAAUUUGCAAAAUCCAUGUGUAAAUGUGGGUAUUCUUUUGCUCACUUGAUCAAUUUUUGCUUAUUUGAAGUGCUCAAAUGUGCACAAAAUUACCUUGGGUUUGCCUAGCUCUUGGGUACACAAUGGAGCCAUGGAGGUUUCUAAUGGUAAUUCUAGCAUUCCAAUCAUUCAAAUACACAAUUUGCCCAUUUGUGAAAGUAUACUGCCCGUUUGGGGGCAGGGCGGGGGGAGUGGGAGGUUAUAAUUGUAUACUAGUGCUGUUGAAUUGUAGGAUUUUCUGUGGGAAGAUGUUUAUGGGAGGGGAGAAAUAGGGUGAGUUGAUUGAUGAUGAUUGAUGAUCACUUACAUAGCAAUUGUAUUGGUAGCAAAUGACCAUCUAGUGAUAUCUUCGAUAUUGGCAAUGGGUGUUGACUGUUGUCUUAUAGUUGAUGAUAAAAUAUGAUACACCUAAUUUGAAUGAUUUUUAGAUGCAUCAACCCAAAUUUUAAAAAUUAAUAGUCAGUUGGAGAUAUUUGGCCGAAUAGUGAAGUCAUGUGAUAUAUGUGGGAUUUGGGGGUUUGAUAUGAUAAGCAGCUCCCCAGGGAUCUCUGCUACUGGUUGAUGACCAGAUUAGAUCCUCUGAACUGACAAAUCAUAGAUCCUAACGGGAUGGAAUUUCCAAUUCAUGCACUGCAGGUAUGGACACAUUCUAGAGAAAUUGUUGUUGAGAGGAUGUACCUAGGAAAAUCCAUUCUUCUGACAUUGCUGUAAAAAUUAAUGAUCUUAAGUCUGAAUAUGGGACUCCUUAGCAGAUAGGACAUAGGAGGUUAAAGCAGGCUAUUUCUUGAUCUAACUUGGGUGAGGAUGAUGGAAAGGAGUUCAAGACUCGGAUCUUGAUGUUAAUGUUAGAUAUUAUACUGUGUCCAGCAACAUGUGGCCAGCUAGCAAAAGAUUUGUUACCAGCUUCAGGCCUCACAAAACAAACUACCCAUGCACCAUAAUUCACCCUCACACUGGACUCCUGGGUGCAGGGUAUUCAUUUUCUGAGUUUGAGGCUUCUUAUGAAACAAGCAUGGGAAAGUAAUGGUGGGAUAAUUAUGGUGCUUGGAUUGUUUCACUUGUUUGUUUUGGUAGGUGGGAGAAUUGUUUGCAAGCUUGUGUUUAUAAUAUUUAAUAUGAACGGUAGGGAAUAACUAAGUGUAGUAGUUUUCAAUGUGUCAACAAAGGUGUGAUAAACUAAUGAAAGAUUCUAACACCUUAAUGGAACCAUGGGAUACCCAGACACCAAUUGGAAUUAUUUCUUGUGCUCUUUACUAUCACUACAACAUAAUUCCGAAACAGUCUGAACAUUAAACCAAACUCGUUUUCAAGGUUUUAGAGACAUAUUGUUAGGUCUUUAUAGUUCCAAACCAACUUUUAUGCCCUCGGGAGACAUCUCUCUCAUCCACUUUAAUUUUGGAAAUUUUCUCAAAAUUCACCAAAAAUCGUGGAUUAACCUUCAAUUUUAGAAAAUUUUAAACUUUUUUAAACUUGAAAAAGGUAAAGGACAGGGUGCUUAUCAUGAAACCUGUGAGACCCCGGGAGGCCACUUGAGUAGUUAGAAUCAUCCACUUGCCUCAUAAUGGUCAAUUUAGUCGGUUAUAGAUGCGUGUUCUGCCAUUGGGUCUAGGCCACCCAUGGGCUUUUAUGAAACAACCAAAAUCAACAAAGGUGUGAUAAACCAAUGAAAGAUUCUUGACACAUUAGUUGAACCAUGACUUGCCCAGUCACCAAUUGGAAUUAGUUCUUGUAGCUCUUUACUACGAAAAUCCAAAAUAGUCAAAACGUUGAACCAAACUCAUUUGUAGGGUUUUAGAGACAUAUUUUUAGGUCUUUUAUGAUUUCAAACCAACUUUUAAAACCUCGGGAGACAUCCUUCUCAUCCACCUUAAUUAUGGAAAAAAAUUCGAAAUUCAUCCAAAAUCGUGGAUUAUAGCCUUCAAUUAAAAAAAAAAAAAAAAAAAAAAAAAAACUUGAAAAAGAUAAAGGACAAAGUGCUUUAUAUGGACCCUAUGAAACCCCCGCAAGCCACUUUGGUAUUUGCCUCUUAAUGGUUAAUUUAAUUGGUUACAAACACGCGUUUGGUCAUUGGGUUUAGGCCACCCCCUGGAUUUUAUGAAACAACUAGCAUCAACAAAGUUUUGAUAAAUAAAUGAAAUAAUCUUGACACCUUAUGGAACCAAGGGAUGCCCAGUCACCAAUUGGAACCGUAUUUUUUUAGCUCUUGACUACCAAUACAACAAAAAUCCGAAAUUAUCACAACAUUGAAUCAAACUCUUUUUUAUAGAUCUUAAAGACAUUGUUAGGCCUUUUAUGGUUCCAAAUUUUUUUUUUAUGACCUCGGAAAACAUCUCUUGGAAAAAUUUCUCGAAAUUUAUCCAAAAUCGUGGACCCUAUGAGACCCCAGGAAGCCACUUGAGUUGUUAGAAUCAUCAACUUUGCCAUCCUUGGACUUGAUGAGAUCGAUUAUUGGCUUAUAUGGCUUUAAACAAUCUUUUUUUUAUUUCGAGUAACAUCUCCCACCAUUACUUGAGUUUUUGGCACCGGAUCUUGGAGAUAAUCCAAUUUCGUGUGUUAAAAUCUUCCAUUUAGCAUCCAAAGAACAUUUUUGGACUGGUUAAGCGUCAAGGUGUUUUCCAAACUUCUCAAGGAACUCUUAGAGCCCUAUUUGGUGGCUGGAACUACCUAAAUCAUGCUUUGGCUCAUGACUUUGUUGUUUGCUCCUCUCAUAAUGUCUUAAGUUGUCUAAGCCUUGUUUUAUCUUUCCAAAAAUGUCUCUCAAACAUGUGAAAACAAUACCCUCUAUGGCCACAUACAGGUAGUAUUAGGGAUGAAGUGUUUGUAUGCCUUGUCCUUGGCUCUCUUUUGCCUUAACCUGCUGCGCAUGCCUAGUGCCUUAGCUAGGCAAAUUGUUUUAUGGCGAUUUAUCUUGGGUGCUUAUUGUGCAUCCAUUUAAAAAUAUUCAUCUGUUUUUGUGAACAAUAUAUCUAUUAUAAAGUGCAUGAGUUGAAUUUUUUAACAGUGAUCUGAAUUUCUAAAUAAUAAUCACAAAACCCUUUUCAACUCAAUGAUGACCAAUUACUUUUCCGAAAAUCAAUGUUGAGUUAGAUUUGAAGGACCUUUAUGUCAGAGUUUUGUUCAAAUGCUCUAAGUGAUAAAUGUAUAUAUUAGUUUCCAAAUUAGCUUCAAUGGGUAUUCUUCACAUUGUAUUCAUCACGCUUUAUAGUUAUUGCUACUAGAGUGAUCUGAUCACUACGGAUAUAUUAAAAGUCCAUUCUGAUCGACGAUGGGAUACAAUCAUGGUAGCUCAUGUAACUCUUGACUACCACUUCAACAAAAUUCCAAAAAAGUCACAACAUUGAACCUAACUCAUUUUCUAGACUUUAGAGACAUAUUGGUAGGUUUGUUAUGGUUCCAAAUCAACUAUUAUGAUCCCGGGAGACGACCCCGACAUUCACUUUAAUUUUGAAAAAAUUCCCAAAAUUAAGCCAAAAUCGUGGGUUAUAGCCUUUAAUUUUAGAAAAAAUUUAACUUUGCUAGACCUGAAAAUGAUAUAAGAUGAGGUGCUUUCAUGGACCCCAUGUGACCCCGGGAGGCCACUUAGGUGGCUAGAAGCAUCCACAUUGGGUUUUAACAUUCAAUUUAGUUCGUUACUGAUAUGAUCUAACAUUGAGUUUAGGCCCUUGUGAGACCAACUAGUGGGUGUAUAUGGUUCUAAUCAACAUUAUAUGAUCUCAGGAAAUAUCCUCAUUGUAACUUAGUUUUUGGCACCGGAUCCCGAAAAUGGUUUGAUUUUGUGUAUUAUAGCCUUCAAUUUAGCAUCUAAAGAACAUUUUUGCACCCAACUAGGUUAGGCAUCAAGGGGUUUUCCAUACUUCUCAAGGGACCCCAAGCUGCGGGUUGAAUCCUUUGCUGACUACUUAACUACGCGAUGGGGUGGCUAAGCGGCCUUGCUGCCACAAUCCACUGAGAUUCACCCCUAUGUCACUUUAAUUUGUCCUUCCCCCCACCCUACUCCAUGGAAGCACCUAUAUUUUGCUAAAUGAGGUUAGCGAGGUUAGCUAAGUGUGGGAUUAGGACAAGGCACGACGCCUAAGUGUUGGGGAUGUUGGAUGGUGCAAGGGGGCGUGUGGGCAUGGGCACACGACAUGUGCACCCAAGGACAAGGAAUACAAACAACUAUUUUUGGCAUUUGAGGGUAUGCCGUCUUUGCCUUUAGACAUCAUGAUUAAGGAUGGAAAAGACAUGAAUGAGAUAGUUUCGGGCACUAAGUAGGACUCUCAAAGCCCUUUGGUAAAAUGAUCUACGGAAGCCAAAAUUAAAGGUUAAUUAAUACACGAAAUAGAAGCAAUUUAGGAGGUUUUGGGGGCUAGUGUCAAAAAGUCAUGGAAUAAUAUGGGAUGCAUUCCAGGGUCAUAUAAUGUUGUUUAGACCCAUAUACGGCCAUUAGUUGGUUACAUAAUGGCCCCAUGAGAGCCUAUACACAAUACAAGAGGGUGUGCAAAAACAACCAUAUUGACUGUUUAAAGGCAAAGUGGAUGGUUCCACCCACUCAAAUGGACUCUCAGAGUGUAUUGGGUCUAUGGGAAACAUCUUAGCAAAAAUUUUUUCUGGUUCCAAAAUUGAAGGCUAUAAUCCACGCUUUUGGACCAAUUUCGAAUGUUUCGGGACCCGGUGUCGAAAAAUCUCAGGAUAUUAGGGGACACAUCUCGGGGUCAUAUAAUGUCGUUUGGAACCAUAUAUGAUCAUUAUUUGUUGUCAUAAAUGUCCGUGGUGGCCUUGAGUUCAUGAAGUAGGCUUAAGUUAUAAAUGGGUAAAUUGAUAGUUUAAAGGAAAAUUAGAUGGUCCUACCCACCCAAAUGGACUCCCGGGAUGUAUUGGGGUCCAUGGGAAGCAUCUCGGCAAUUUUUUUUUCGGGUCCAAAAAAAUCCAAAAUUGAAGGCUAUACACGAUUUCGAGCAAUUUUGGAAAUUUUUUCCAAAAAUGAACUGAAUGCAUGGGGUGACCCCUAGGAUCAUAUAAGUUGGUUUGGAACCAUAAGACACCUGUAAAGAUGUCUAUAAAGUCCCAAAAGUGAGUCAGUUAUGUUGCUAUUUUGAAAUUAUGUUGCAUUAUUAUUGGUAGUAAAAGAGUUGAUUCCAAUAAUAACCAAUAUGGAGUUCUUCAUCUUCUUUUGUAUUGUUGGUUAUUCAUGCUUUGGCUCCUGAUUUUUUAGUUUCCACCUCUCAUAAUUUUGUCUAAAGUUGCCUGCCUAGUUCAUGCCUUGCCAUGUCUUGGCUUUCUGAAUAUGUCUCUCAGACAAGUCAAGACAAUACCCUCUAUGGCCAUGUAUAGGUAGUUUUUAAGGAUGAGGUGUUUUUAUGCCUUGUCUUUGGCUUAUGCCUUGUGCCACAACCUGCUGGGCUGCUGCCCAUAGGCCCCAUACCUUGUGCCUUGGCCUGCUGACUAUGGGGUUGUUUGGAAUCGGCGGUUAGCUGUGGGCGGUUGGCUUGUUUGCUUGACUUGUUUGACUAGCCGGAAAUAUUAGCCGUAUGGAUUGGCUUUUUAAGUUAGUUGUUUAAGACUUUAAGUCAGCUGUUUACAAAAGUGUUUGGUAAAAUUAUUGGUGGUUGUUAGCUAUUUAUUAGUGAUAAAGUGGGCCAACAAGCCAAAAGCCAAUAGAAAAAGCUACUCCUAUUAGCUUUUGGCUUUUGGCGGAAAAGCCAGCUUAAAAGCCAAUAGAAAAGCCAACUACCAAACAUAUUUUUUGGCUGUUUGACAAAACUAAAAAGCCAAAAGCUAGGCAAAAAGCCAAUUGCCAAACACCCCAAUACCUCGUGUCUUUGCUAGGUAACAGCACCUUUUCCUAGGCCUUGUGCGUUGGCUGGGUAGCAGUGCCUAUGCCUUGACGUCUAUGCCUUGGCAUUGUGUCUUAUUUGGGCAGCAACGCCUAUGCUUAGGGCCUUGGCCUGGGCAUAAACAGUAGCAGCACCUAAUGUAAGUGAUUUGCCUUUUAGUUUUACUCGUAGAUUUUAAGUAGUUUGUGAUGGCUGCACCAUCUGUUUGCAGUACGUGCUACAUAGUUGAAUAUAUUGUGCGAAUAGGCAUGUGUUGUUUGUUAUUACAAACUUUUAUUUUUGGAACUACGUUCCUUUGGUAUUUCCACCACAAUCACUGCAGAUCUUAUAUAUUGUUCAGCUGAAUAAAAUGCCUAUUCAUUGGGGAAUGGGGACAAUGUCCUUUACUCUAGAUUUCGACUAAUACAGAAAUCAACUGUGCCUGUGUGGAGAACAAGGGUGAGGAGGGGGAUUACAGGAAAUUUUGGGUCAGUAAAUUCAUUCUUUGCUCUAUCUGCAUGUGUAUUGUGUCCUUUUACUAUCUAGUUAUGUGUUGCUGCAAUGUAUCUCUUUGACGUAGCAUAUGGUGAGCAACAUCCUUAGGGUCAAGGGAUUCUUCAAUAAAGCGUCAUCAACGCUUAGCCCUUGAGAUUGCUCUGCUUAUUCAUUCAUCUAUGGCAAGCAUUUCCGUCCAGUUUGCCAAUUUGGCCUUCUGUAUUACUGUCUAGUCUAGCCUGUUAACUCUAACCCAAAAAUUCAGCCAAUGCGGAAAGCAACAUCGUCCAAGAAUUCUUAGCAGCAGAGGCAAGAGUAGGCCGCCAAAUUCAUCAUUGUGAAUGUGCUUUCUCUGGUGCUAAAUCCGUGAAGAUUCAUUGUAUGACGCCCAAGUAGCAGAGAUCGAUGGUUAAAUAACAUAAUUUAGUGCCUAACUGAGAGUUGGGCUCGUAGUUACCUAAUACGCGAGUAUUAGAUCUCUGUUAACUAUAUGAUUCAGGCCAAAAAUAAUGGUACAUGGGGAUUAGAGUAACAGGUGGGCUUGUUAACUACUCGUAUAAGAGUUUAUUAUGGGUUGUUGUUGCAUAGCUUAUGACUGUUAUGAGUUAGUUACUUAGUUAGGAGUGUAUAUAUUGAUUGUUUAAGUUGAAAAAAAAUUAUAGAAAGGGGGAGGUUGUGAAAAACUCCAAUUGAUUUUGACUCAAUUUUAGUUAAUGUUAUCCUUAUAUGAGGUAUAUUCGGAUGACGUUUAGAGAUGAGUUUUAUGAUACGAACACAAAACAAAAAAAAAAAAAAAAAAAAAAAAAAAAAAAAAAAAAAAAAAA